GCCUGGUUAGAACUUGGAUGGGUGACCGCCUGGGAAUACCAGGU
rnacentral:rRNA from 10 species